CUGCUAUUAAAGCAAAACAGGAGGAUAUAUACUUUAGCCAUGAAAUUAGCGCAUAAUGUUAUCUAGCCAGUUGAACUUGCAUUGCUUUAGGGAAAUAUUAGCACACGUUUUCCACAAGUGGAUGUAGGCAGGAAAGAUUUAUAUUAGACAUCAGGAAUAAUGUCCUGACUUUCAGAAGAGUUGUGAGAAGCCAAAUAGUUUACCAAAGAAGGCUGUGGAAUUUACCUCCUGGAAAUUUUUAGCAGCAGACAUGAGACCCAUAUGUUUGAGACUAUUUCGGAGUCUUUGAAAUGAAUAGAAUGGUCUUAUUAAGAGUUUCCUAGUCCUUUUCUUUUGUAGCUUGCCUGAGAAGAGGUUAGACAUUCAGUCCACAAAGCCAGGCUUCUCUCCGACCUUCCCCUAUACAUUUCCGAAGACAGAGAAGAGGAAAAAGGAGGUAGAGUCUGGUAUGAGGGCACCAGGGAACAUUUCCUUACUUCACAAUUUGGUGAACUGAGUAGAACUGCCUGACAUCACACAGAGGGUAAACUUCUGCCUAGGGCCAUGGAAAAAGGCAAGAAGGUCCCGUGACCAAGAAAUGACCAGCUCCACAGAGGAAAUGCAGGGCCACUCUCCGACUGGACCCCACUGUGCACAAGCCUGCUCAAUGUGAAGAUGACGAGGAUGAAAACCUUUAUGAUGAUCUACUCCUAUUUAUGGGGAUCUCCCUUCCCUUUUUCAAUGGACUAGCACAGGACCUGCCCACAGAGGCCCUAACUCAGUGCUCUCUGAAUGAAUGGAUGAAUGGGUACAGGGAAUAUCACUGAGGCUCAGAGAGGUAAAAUUAAUUUGGCUGAAGUCAAACUGAACAAUGAGGGCACUGUGGCUCAAACUCACAUCACUGGAAUUCCAAGUAUAUGUACCUGACGUUACAUAAUAUUGUCUCUGUGGAAUGCUUUGAGGAAAGGAACCUAAGAUUUUGGAACUCUGAGACUAUGCUGAAUCUGCUAAAAUUUUGAGAUGCUCUCUGUUCUGGAGGUGACACGGGGUGACAGUGGUGCUCCAUAUUCCUGAAGACACCUGGAAAUAUUGUGGGACGUGCCCUGAGUUGACAUCAGGCAGGUCCUACCUUCCUGAUUGGCCCCUGUUGGUGCUUGAAGAGCCCACUGAAACAACAGACUGAGCAAAGACUUUUAAACGCUGCACGUGGAAUCUACCUCAAAGAAUAUCUAGUUCAAACUGGUCAUUUUGCAGAUGAGAAAACUGAGGUCCAGGACCAUGAAGAGUUAACAGAGGAUUAACACUAAGGCUCUGUCCCCUGAUUUCCAUCCCAGUGGUCUCUUUCCAGCACACAGGCUGUGCCACAGAUUUUAUAGGCAUCUGGAAUUUUGCUGGCAGGGUUACUUCUAAGAAAUCUUUCGGUGGAAUCUCUUUAAGUGGCCCCUGGAAUGUAAGCACUAUGGGCAGUCUGUAGUGACCCAGAGCUCCAAAACAGAGUUUCUAAACAGGCAUGGCAGCAAAUCCCAGCAACAUCAGGCAGAUGCUUUAGACAUUUAAGGAUCUGCAGAUACUGCAGAAUCCCUCAGUUGUGUGGUCAGCACAUUACAACUCACAUAACUGUAAAAUUUUGCUGCAAUAAAAAUUAUUUUUAUAAUAAAAAACAUACUGUUAUAAAAGUAUUACCACUGGUAAUAGCACCUGUUUUGACAUCACUUUAUAAAGACUUUUCCUGUAAUUAUUUCAUCUUGUCUUCACAAAACCUGUGAUGUCGUAUGAGCAUACCUAUUUCCAUAAAAGGAAACUGAGGCUCAAAGGGAUUAAGUGAUUUGUUUAAUGGUACUCAGUUAUUAGGCAGCAGAACAGGAACCUGAAUGCCAACUCCCCUGCUUCUAUACUUUGCUCCUACUAAUCACAAUCCCUCUUGAUAUGAGCUUUAAAAUGACUUUCUUUGCAAGUUUCAUGAGCAUGUUGAUAAACAAAGGUCUCUAGGAAGUCCAAAUGUUUUUUCGCUGACUACCGCCUGGCUUCUAGUUCUCUUUCAAUCUUUUAUUUUUAGUCUCCUUUGCAUUUAAGUUUGAGACAAUAAGAUCCUGAGGAGCUUGACUGUGGCCUGGGCCUGGGGAUACUUCAGGAUUGUGAACUCAGGGAAUCUGAGGCAGGAAUUAAAAGGUACAUGAACACAAAUAGGAACACAUCUUCUCAAGAACUUAGGCUUUUUUUUUUUUUUUGGAUAGGCCUCAG
rnacentral:lncRNA from 1 species